rnacentral:rRNA from 1 species
UAUGGGGGGACCAUCCUCCAAGGCUAAAUACUCCUGACUGACCGAUAGUGAACCAGUACCGUGAGGGAAAGGCGAAAAGAACCCCUGUGAGGGGAGUGAAAUAGAACCUGAAACCGUGUACGUACAAGCAGUAGGAGCACCUUCGUGGUGUGACUGCGUACCUUUUGUAUAAUGGGUCAGCGACUUAUAUUCAGUGGCAAGGUUAACCGUAUAGGGGAGCCGUAGCGAAAGCGAGUCUUAACUGGGCGCUCAGUCUCUGGAUAUAGACCCGAAACCGGGUGAUCUAGCCAUGGGCAGGUUGAAGGUUGAGUAACAUCAACUGGAGGACCGAACCGACUAAUGUUGAAAAAUUAGCGGAUGACUUGUGGCUAGGGGUGAAAGGCCAAUCAAACUCGGAGAUAGCUGGUUCUCCCCGAAAGCUAUUUAGGUAGCGCCUCGGACGAAUACUACUGGGGGUAGAGCACUGUUAAGGCUAGGGGGUCAUCCCGACUUACCAACCCUUUGCAAACUCCGAAUACCAGUAAGUACUAUCCGGGAGACACACGGCGGGUGCUAACGUCCGUCGUGGAGAGGGAAACAACCCAGACCGCCAGCUAAGGUCCCAAAGUAUUGCUAAGUGGGAAACGAUGUGGGAAGGCUCAGACAGCUAGGAUGUUGGCUUAGAAGCAGCCAUCAUUUAAAGAAAGCGUAAUAGCUCACUAGUCGAGUCGGCCUGCGCGGAAGAUGUAACGGGGCUAAGCAAUACACCGAAGCUGCGGCAAUGUCUUUUAGACAUUGGGUAGGGGAGCGUUCUGUAAGCCGUUGAAGGUGAAUCGUAAGGUUUGCUGGAGGUAUCAGAAGUGCGAAUGCUGACAUGAGUAACGACAAAGGGGGUGAAAAACCUCCUCGCCGGAAGACCAAGGGUUCCUGUCCAACGUUAAUCGGGGCAGGGUGAGUCGACCCCUAAGGUGAGGCCGAAAGGCGUAAUCGAUGGGAAACGGGUUAAUAUUCCCGUACUUCUGACUAUUGCGAUGGGGGGACGGAGAAGGCUAGGUGGGCCAGGCGACGGUUGUCCUGGUUCAAGUGCGUAGGCUUGAGAGUUAGGUAAAUCCGGCUCUCUCUAAGGCUGAGACACGACGUCGAGCUACUACGGUAGUGAAGUCAUUGAUGCCAUGCUUCCAGGAAAAGCCUCUAAGCUUCAGAUAGUCAGGAAUCGUACCCCAAACCGACACAGGUGGUCGGGUAGAGAAUACCAAGGCGCUUGAGAGAACUCGGGUGAAGGAACUAGGCAAAAUGGUACCGUAACUUCGGGAGAAGGUACGCUCUUGAUGGUGAAGUCCCUCGCGGAUGGAGCUGACGAGAGUCGCAGAUACCAGGUGGCUGCAACUGUUUAUUAAAAACACAGCACUGUGCAAAAUCGCAAGAUGACGUAUACGGUGUGACGCCUGCCCGGUGCCGGAAGGUUAAUUGAUGGGGUUAGCGCAAGCGAAGCUCUUGAUCGAAGCCCCGGUAAACGGCGGCCGUAACUAUAACGGUCCUAAGGUAGCGAAAUUCCUUGUCGGGUAAGUUCCGACCUGCACGAAUGGCGUAAUGAUGGCCACGCUGUCUCCACCCGAGACUCAGUGAAAUUGAAAUCGCUGUGAAGAUGCAGUGUACCCGCGGCUAGACGGAAAGACCCCGUGAACCUUUACUACAGCUUGGCACUGAACAUUGAACCUACAUGUGUAGGAUAGGUGGGAGGCUAUGAAGACGUGACGCCAGUUGCGUUGGAGCCGUCCUUGAAAUACCACCCUUGUAUGUUUGAUGUUCUAACUUAGACCCAUUAUCUGGGUUGAGGACAGUGCCUGGUGGGUAGUUUGACUGGGGCGGUCUCCUCCCAAAGAGUAACGGAGGAGCACGAAGGUGGGCUAAUCACGGUUGGACAUCGUGAGGUUAGUGCAAUGGCAUAAGCCCGCUUAACUGCGAGAAUGACGGUUCGAGCAGGUGCGAAAGCAGGUCAUAGUGAUCCGGUGGUUCUGUAUGGAAGGGCCAUCGCUCAACGGAUAAAAGGUACUCCGGGGAUAACAGGCUGAUACCGCCCAAGAGUUCAUAUCGACGGCGGUGUUUGGCACCUCGAUGUCGGCUCAUCACAUCCUGGGGCUGAAGUCGGUCCCAAGGGUAUGGCUGUUCGCCAUUUAAAGUGGUACGCGAGCUGGGUUUAGAACGUCGUGAGACAGUUCGGUCCCUAUCUGCCGUGGGCGUUGGAAGAUUGAAGGGGGCUGCUCCUAGUACGAGAGGACCGGAGUGGACGAACCUCUGGUGUUCGGGUUGUGUCGCCAGACGCAUUGCCCGGUAGCUAAGUUCGGAAUUGAUAAGCGCUGAAAGCAUCUAAGCGCGAAGCGAGCCCUGAGAUGAGUCUUCCCUGACAGUUUAACUGUCCUAAAGGGUUGUUCGAGACUAGAACGUUGAUAGGCAGGGUGUGUAAGCGUUGUGAGGCGUUGAGCUAACCUGUACUAAUUGCCCGUGAGGCUUAACCAUACAACACCCAAGGGGUUUUGUA